rnacentral:rRNA from 1 species
AGUGAACGCUGGCGAUAGGCCUAACACAUGCAAGUCGAACGGCAGCACAGUAAGAGCUUGCUCUUACGGUUGGCGAGUGGCGGACGGGUGAGGAAUACAUCGGAAUCUACUUUUUCGUGGGGGAUAACGUAGGGAAACUUACGCUAAUACCGCAUACGACCUACGGGUGAAAGCAGGGGAUCUUCGGACCUUGCGCGAUUGAAUGAGCCGAUGUCGGAUUAGCUAGUUGGCGGGGUAAAGGCCCACCAAGGCGACGAUCCGUAGCUGGUCUGAGAGGAUGAUCAGCCACACUGGAACUGAGACACGGUCCAGACUCCUACGGGAGGCAGCAGUGGGGAAUAUUGGACAAUGGGCGCAAGCCUGAUCCAGCCAUACCGCGUGGGUGAAGAAGGCCUUCGGGUUGUAAAGCCCUUUUGUUGGGAAAGAAAAGCAGCAGGUUAAUACCCCGCUGUUCUGACGGUACCCAAAGAAUAAGCACCGGCUAACUUCGUG